AACGAACGCUGGCGGCAUGCCUAACACAUGCAAGUCGAACGAAACCUUCGGGUCUAGUGGCGCACGGGUGCGUAACGCGUGGGAACCUGCCCUUAGGUUCGGAAUAACUCCCCGAAAGGGGUGCUAAUACCGGAUAAUGUCUUCGGACCAAAGAUUUAUCGCCUUUGGAUGGGCCCGCGUUGGAUUAGCUAGUUGGUAGGGUAAAAGCCUACCAAGGCGACGAUCCAUAGCUGGUCUGAGAGGAUGAUCAGCCACACUGGGACUGAGACACGGCCCAGACUCCUACGGGAGGCAGCAGUGGGGAAUAUUGGAAAAUGGGCGAAAGCCUGAUCCAGCAAUGCCGGGUGAGUGAUGAAGGCCUUAGGGUUGUAAAGCUCUUUUACCCGGGAUGAUAAUGACAGUACCGGGAGAAUAAGCCCCGGCUAACUCCGUG
rnacentral:rRNA from 1 species